rnacentral:lncRNA from 1 species
GGGUCCGAGAGCUAGCAGAGGGGCGUGUCCACGCGCGGCGGCGAAAAGGGCUCCCGGCGAGAUCCAGAACUCGCGAAACAAGGCACGGGGACUCGGUUUUGGCGACCUAGAUGCGAAAACAUGACGAGGGAGCGAUGCUGGAAGCUUUAUAGUGGUCGGUUUGCGCGCUUGGCAAGGAAAUCCCGAGAACUCGGGCCUCGGUUCGAUCCGGCCGAGUCCGUCUCGCCCACGACGCUGGGAAGAAGAUGGGAGGGGGCGAGACACUGCCGGGUGGGGUCAGUUGUCAGCGACUGAGAGAGAAAGGGGGAGGCGCUGUGCUGCGGGGCCGGCUCGUCAGCGAGCCAAGGCAGAGGGGCGCGCCCGCCAGGCCACGCGCGGGCUGGGCCGAGGAAAGGGAGUGGGCCGGGGCGCGGGGGAGGGGAGCUGGGCCUCGGCCUGGAAGGCUUCCUUUCUUUUUUUUUCCUAUUUCCAAUUUUUUUUUCUGUUUUGUUUUAUUCUUUUUUUUAAAGCCUUUUUCAAAAAGGAUUUUGAGGACAAUUAAAUAUAAACUAAAUACAAUCAACACAAAAUAAAAUAUGUCUCAGCAUGAAUGCACAAAAUCAUGUUACUAAGCUUAUGAUAAAUUUUAAAUUUCCACAAAAUUGUUUAUUUGCUACAUUAAAUGCUCACUAAAAUUCUUAAAUAAUUCAAAUUAAAUCCUAUUAAUUGAAAUUCAAAUUUUGGAUGUUACAAUUUCUGCAUGCUUGGAAUGGGAAAGACAAUAUUUUGGUAAGGCAUGCUUUUUCUUUUUGUUCGGUUACUCAUCAGGAAUACGUUCUUGUGUUGGACAAUAUUAUAUAACUUAUUUUCUUUUGCUGGUUCAGAUAGCUUAGGCCUUGUUUAGUUCACAAAAAAUUUUGUAAAAUUUUUCAGAUUCCCCGUCACAUUGAAUAUUUAGACGUAUGCAUGAAGUAUUAAAUAUAGACGAAAAUAAAAACUAACUGCACAGUUUGGUCGAAAUUGUCGAGACGAAUCUUUUGAGCCUAGUUAGUCCAUAAUUGAACAAUAUUUGUCAAAUACAAACGAAAGUGCUACAGUGUUGAUUUUCCAAAAAAAAAAUAUAACUAAACAAGGCCCUAGCAGCAAGAUGGAGUAGAAAACAACCCACAAUUUCCAUUUCUCUUUUUCUUUUUGUUGUAUGCACUACAUAUAUAGAACAAUCUAAUUCUCUAGCUUCAAUAUAUUAUGCCCACAUGAAACCUGUAAAAUAAGGUUAAUUGAACCGCCGGGGGUUGGGGUGGGGGGGGGGGCUUCUAUCUCUGUUCUGUCACUGAUGCUUCCUUAUGAACAAAGUUCAUAGUGGUACAUUUCACUCCGAUGCUAAUUCUGAGCUUUUGAAGAAUGACCCACUCAAUCUGAAAUAAAAAUUUGUACUAACUUGAGAAGAAAAAUAUAUAGCCAUACCAGAGUUUACUAGAGUUGAGUUGUGAUGAUUUGCAACUAAAAGCUCGUUAAUUAAUGACAAAUUCUGAAUCCGUUAC